rnacentral:rRNA from 1 species
ACUCCUACGGGAGGCAGCAGUGGGGAAUAUUGCACAAUGGGCGCAAGCCUGAUGCAGCCAUGCCGCGUGUAUGAAGAAGGGCCUUCGGGUUGAUGAAAGUACUUUCAGUCAGUGAGGAAGGUGGAGUCGUUAAGUAGCGGCCUCAUUUGACGUUAGCUGCAGAAGAAGCACCGGCUAACUCCGUGCCAGCAGCCGCGGUAAUACGGAGGGUGCGAGCGUUAAUCGGAAUUACUGGGCGUAAAGCGCAUGCAGGUGGUUUGUUAAGUCAGAUGUGAAAGCCC